GGAUAACACUUGGAAACAGGUGCUAAUACCGUAUAACACUAUUUUCCGCAUGGAAGAAAGUUGAAAGGCGCUUUUGCGUCACUGAUGGAUGGACCCGCGGUGCAUUAGCUAGUUGGUGAGGUAACGGCUCACCAAGGCCACGAUGCAUAGCCGACCUGAGAGGGUGAUCGGCCACACUGGGACUGAGACACGGCCCAGACUCCUACGGGAGGCAGCAGUAGGGAAUCUUCGGCAAUGGACGAAAGUCUGACCGAGCAACGCCGCGUGAGUGAAGAAGGUUUUCGGAUCGUAAAACUCUGUUGUUAGAGAAGAACAAGGAUGAGAGUAAAAUGUUCAUCCCUUGACGGUAUCUAACCAGAAAGCUACGGCUAACUACGUGCCAGCAGCCGCGGUAAUACGUAGGUGGCAAGCGUUGUCCGGAUUUAUUGGGCGUAAAGCGAGCGCAGGCGGUUUCUUAAGUCUGAUGUGAAAGCCCCCGGCUCAACCGGGGAGGGUCAUUGGAAACUGGGAGACUUGAGUGCAGAAGAGGAGAGUGGAAUUCCAUGUGUAGCGGUGAAAUGCGUAGAUAUAUGGAGGAACACCAGUGGCGAAGGCGGCUCUCUGGUCUGUAACUGACGCUGAGGCUCGAAAGCGUGGGGAGCGAACAGGAUUAGAUACCCUGGUAGUCCACGCCGUAAACGAUGAGUGCUAAGUGUUGGAGGGUUUCCGCCCUUCAGUGCUGCA
rnacentral:rRNA from 1 species